CUUCCGCUGCCUGCUGCGGAGACCGCCUACUGUCGCCGGGCGCGCCAGAGGGUCGGAGGAGGGGGACUUUCCGGCCCCGCCCCCAAGUUCCUCUUCUGGCCUAUAGGAACUGAACAGUCCCGCGAGCACCGGAAAGAGGCGGAGCCUCCGCCCUCGCCGGGCCUGGCGCACUGGGCCCACAGCGCCCUCUAUUGAGGCUCUGCAUGGAAGGAGCUCUGCAUUGAGGAGCUGCAUGGAACCUGUCCCAAGCGCUUUGCACCUGGCUCUUUUGAAAGGGUAGCUCCUCGGUCCUUGGGAAGGGGCGUCCCCACCCAGAUCCUAGCUUCAGAUGAUGAUGAAACUGAGGCUCAGAGAUCAACGGGCUCCCCCAAGAAGGAACUGGCUGCCAGCAGACAGACUCCAGGACCUGCUCUCUUUAACACCACACCAGGAGACAUAGGAACCUGUUUCUUGGUGGCUCAUUCUCUCCUUGCCUCCCACCAAGGAGUUGGGAGACACUCCUCCCACCCCCAACACCAUCUCCCGUCUCUGCACGAUUGAGGGAGUAAUCCUGGGAACCCUGGAGUCUGGAACCCUGACUGCUCAUUGCAACACAAGCUGAGGGAAGUCAUCACACUCA